GUGCCAGCAGCCGCGGUAAUACGUAGGGAGCCAGCGUUGUCCGGAUUUACUGGGCGUAAAGAGCGCGUAGGCGGUUUGGUAAGCGGAGGGUGAAAUCCCAGGGCUCAACUCUGGGGCUGCUCUCCGAACUGUCAGACUAGAGUACGGGAGAGGACAGUGGAAUUCCUGGUGUAGCGGUGGAAUGCGUAAAUAUCAGGAGGAACACCCGUGGCGAAGGCUGCUGUCUGGAACGUUACUGACGCUGAGGCGCGAAAGCUAGGGGAGCGAACGGGAUUAGAAACCCCGGUAGUCC
rnacentral:rRNA from 1 species